rnacentral:rRNA from 1 species
UACGUAGGGUGCAGGCGUUAAUCGGAAUUACUGGGCGUAAAGCGUGCGCAGGCGGUUUGCUAAGACAGGUGUGAAAUCCCCGGGCUUAACCUGGGAACUGCGCUUGUAACUGGCAAGCUAGAGUGUGGCAGAGGGGGGUGGAAUUCCAGGUGUAGCAGUGAAAUGCGUAGAUAUGUGGAGGAAUACCGAUGGCGAAGGCAGCCCCCUGGGAUAACACUGACGCUCAGGAACGAAAGCCAGGGGAGCAAACGGG